rnacentral:rRNA from 1 species
CCUACGGGGGGCAGCAGUGAGGAAUAUUGGUCAAUGGACGAGAGUCUGAACCAGCCAAGUAGCGUGAAGGAUGACUGCCCUAUGGGUUGUAAACUUCUUUUAUAUGGGAAUAAAAUGUUCCACGUGUGGGAUUUUGUAUGUACCAUAUGAAUAAGGAUCGGCUAACUCCGUGCCAGCAGCCGCGGUAAUACGGAGGAUCCGAGCGUUAUCCGGCUUUAUUGGGUUUAAAGGAAGCGUAGGUGGAUUGUUAAGUCAGUUGUGAAAGUUUGCGGCUCAACCGUAAAAUUGCAGUUGAAACUGGCAGUCGUGAGUACAGUAGAGGCGGGCGGAAUUCGUGGUGUAGCGGUGAAAUGCUUAGAUAUCACGAAGAACUCCGAUUGCGAAGGCAGCUCACUGGACUGCAACUGACACUGAGGCUCGAAAGUGUGGGUAUCAAACAGGAUUAGAUACCCGUGUAGUC